rnacentral:tRNA from 1 species
AUUUAGGUGGCUGAAAAAUAAGCAAUGGUCUCUUAAACCAUACUAUAGUAUAUUACUCCU